rnacentral:rRNA from 1 species
UACGUAGGUGCCAAGCGUUGUCCGGAUUUAUUGGGCGUAAAGCGCUCGCAGGCGGUCUGGCAAGUUGGGGGUGAAAUCUCCCGGCUUAACCGGGAGGGUGCUUGGAAAACUGCCAGGCUUGAGGCAGAGAGAGGGAUGUGGAAUUCCCGGUGUAGUGGUGAAAUGCGUAGAUAUCGGGAGGAACACCAGUGGCGAAGGCGGCAUCCUGGCUCUGUCCUGACGCUCAGGGGCGAAAGCGUGGGGAGCAAACCGG